UGGGAAAUUGCGCAAUGGGCGAAAGCCUGACGCAGCAACGCCGCGUGCGGGAUGAAGGCCUUCGGGUUGUAAACCGCUUUCAGCAGGGAAGAAGCGAAAGUGACGGUACCUGCAGAAGAAGCACCGGCUAACUACGUGCCAGCAGCCGCGGUAAUA
rnacentral:rRNA from 1 species